rnacentral:rRNA from 1 species
AACGAACGCUGGCGGCAGGCCUAACACAUGCAAGUCGAGCGAGCAUUUCGGUGCUAGCGGCGGACGGGUGAGUAACGCGUGGGAACGUGCCCUUUUCUGCGGAAUAGUCCUGGGAAACUGGGGGUAAUACCGCAUACGCCCUUUUGGGGAAAGAUUUAUGGGAGAAGGCUCGGCGCGCGUUGGAUUAGGCAGUUGGUGGGGUAAUGGCCCACCAUGCCGACGAUGCAUAGCUGGUGUGAGAGGAUGAUCAGCCACACUGGGACUGAGACACGGCCCAGACUCCUACGGGAGGCAGCAGUGGGGAAUCUUAGACAAUGGGGGCAACCCUGAUCUAGCCAUGCCGCGUGAGUGAUGAAGGCCUUAGGGUUGUAAAGCUCUUUCAGCUGGGAAGAUAAUGACGGUACCAGCAGAAGAAGCCCCGGCUAACUCCGUG